UACGGAGGGGGCUAGCGUUGUUCGGAAUUACUGGGCGUAAAGCGCACGUAGGCGGCUUUGUAAGUUAGAGGUGAAAGCCCAGGGCUUAACCCUGGAAUUGCCUUUAAGACUGCAUCGCUAGAAUCGUGGAGAGGUGAGUGGAAUUCCGAGUGUAGAGGUGAAAUUCGUAGAUAUUCGGAAGAACACCAGUGGCGAAGGCGACUCACUGGACACGUAUUGACGCUGAUGCACGAAAGCGUGGGGAGCAAACAGG
rnacentral:rRNA from 1 species